UACGGAGGAUGCAAGCGUUAUCCGGAAUCAUUGGGCGUAAAGAGCGUGUAGGCGGUUCGAUAAGUCUGCUGUGAAAGUCCAGGGCUCAACCCUGGGAUGCCGGUGGAUACUGUCGGGCUAGAGUACGGAAGAGGCGAGUGGAAUUCCUGGUGUAGCGGUGAAAUGCGCAGAUAUCAGGAGGAACACCGAUGGCGAAGGCAGCUCGCUGGGUCGGUACUGACGCUGAGACGCGAAAGCGUGGGGAGCAAACAGG
rnacentral:rRNA from 1 species